UGGGGAACUUAAGGUGGCAGCGGGGUUUUACAAUGGAUUAAGUUCUGUCAGAAAGCUCAACAACCCCCUUCUCUGAGAAGCCCUGGGCUUUCACAGGGCUCUCCAGACUCAUUGCCCAACUUGGGACGACUGUCAACAAUUAUUACUCAUUUGGUUCACAGGGGAAAGAGACAAAAUUAGACGAGAGGCCCUGAAAUCCAUCAUAGGUCCAGGGAGAGGAACAGUAGAAAACAAAACAAAGAACAAAAAAACCAGGAGUGCAUUGAAAAGGUUUUUCCCUCUACCCGAACCCAAUGGAACCCCAACACCUUGGGUGGUCACCAGGCUCUGAACACUUCUCACCAGUACCUUUUAGAAGGGCUUAGGGGAGCGGCCCACAAGCCCGCUAACCUCUCCGAGACCCGCAUGAAGAUUUUAAAGGCUACAGUUUUAAACCCAGCCAUGCUGCUACCUGAUAGCCAGCCAGAGAAUCCCAUACAUGAUUGCCAGCAAAUAAUGGACGUCAUCCACACCGCUUGACUGGACUUCACUGAUAUUCCCCUACAGAAUCCGGAGGAGGUACUGUAUACUGAUGGCAGCAGCUUCAUGGUCGAUGGAGUCAGAUUGGCUACUGUUUUACAACCCUGAGUCACUGAGCCCCCACCUCGAAGGGCCAAAGGCGGGAAAAGUUUCUGCUUCCCAAACAAAGUUCCGAGGAGCCAGAGACUGGAAACCUGAGACAAAGUCCAGAGACGAGAAACCUGAGACAAAGUCCAUAAGAGCCAGAGGCAGGAAAAGCGGAGACAAAGCCUCUAGCUGGCCAGAGGCGGGAGAAUUCCUACGUUUGAAACAAAGCCCCCGCCCACCCGGGGAAGUCCCUCUAACACAGUCGCUCACAAAGGAGAAAUCCGAGGAUAUGGAGCUGUGUCUGAUGGGCUUGUCCUAUUAUUACUAGGUGAGUUGCUCCCACUGUCUCUUGGACAUUUACUAUUAUUCUCUUUCACCUCAAAUUUCACAUAAUGCUCAGUUGAGAAAAUCUAGGAACAUGCAAAGUGCAAUGAAUAAUUCCUAAAACAGUCUCGAAUAUACAUAUAAAAGUGUUAUGA
rnacentral:lncRNA from 13 species